AGGGAGGGGGAACCUCAUUCCGAUCUCGAGGGACAGGAGCAAAAGACCACAAACAUCUGCGACGGACCUUCUCCAACCGGAAACAAGAGCUGGAUUGAAUUCACUUUUGGGGCUUUGACUGUUUUCUGGAGCAUAUCGGAUAAGUCAAACAGUCGCAUUUGCAGCACACGAUGAUGAAGCAAGACCCACACAGUCUGGUGGACCGUCUGAGGAGAUGUUGCGAGAGAAUGAAUGGCUGAUGAUGAAUAAUUCAAGAGCUUUUGAAACAAAGCCAAAUUUGAAAAGUCUAACUCCGGUCGGGUGUGUCUCCCCAUUCCCUUUCUGCCAUAUUACAGAGUGUCUUGGCAAGUAGUUGACUGUCGGUGGAAGUGCGGGAAGGAACAAACAGACGAGGUGGUCGGGAAUGUUGGAAAUUGGUUAGAUGAAGGCGAAUGGAGAAUCUUUAGAUGCCUCUGCUGUCUUUACAUCUUAUACCGAAGAGGGGAGAAAUCGAGCCACGAGUAUUCUCUCCGCCAUCCCCUUUUGGUCUCACUGCUGUCAUUUUUUUUUCCUAGGUUCACCGAUUCCCUUGCCACCGGUGCCAACACCGUAAACAAAGCAUCUAAAACCUCUUGUUAAAAAUUGCGUAAACGGACCCCUGACCGGUUGCUAGCAGCAACAGCAGCGGAGCCCAGUGACAGUGUACAGCAAUUCUUCAGUCGUCUUCCCUCGCAAGGCUUCGCUGCACUCGGUUCUUCCUGUUUUUUUCCCCCCCCAAGAUGUCAUCACUCAACGUCUUCAUCAUGGCUUUUAAUGCCCCUGACAAGGACUUCAUGUUUUGAGGUUUGGUUUGUUUUCCCUUCAAUUCCAUGCAAACGGACCAAAUAGGCCCUGGAAUGAACAAUGAGGGCACUCGUUAGAGCGACACAAAGACCCUCGCUUAAAAAAAAUACAUAAUUGUAUUUCAAUUAGGUUGUUCAAGUCAAGUACAACUUUAUUGUCAAAUGUGCUGCACAUAUGAAAUUUCUUCCCUCUUAAACAGACAACAAGAGGAGCCGCUGUGGGUGCCCGCGCCGCCACAGAACAAAACAUUUAUAUUGAUGUGGAUUAGGUUUAAAGUAAGUAUUAGACCAAGGGAUUUGGUUUAGGGUUCCAGGGCCAGUGGGCUAGGGUCUGUUAAACAGCCUACCCUCUGUAGCUAACAAAUAGCGCGGUCAACGAAAACAUAACCUAAAACCAAGUCUUAUACCGACACCAAAAUAGUAUUUCAACUCAUACAAAAACUCUGUGUAUUAUACCGCAAUGUCGUUACAGUUCUAACCUGGCAGGCACCACAGUUUGGGAAUUAAAAUAUCACUAACAUCCGCUUAGCAAGUACGGCAGCAAAUAGGCCAUGUCGCCACUGCAGCCAGCUGAUGUGGGACCGUUACCCCAUCGCCACUGACCAACUUGUAACGACUACUUGAAUGGCUUCCGUGACCGGCAUGUGCGAGAAGGUAGCAGGACUCAUGACUGCCGCUCAUUAGAAAAUGGGAAGAGAUUAAAAAAAAAAAAAAAACGUGUCAACAAUACUGAUAGAAAUAUGCGUGUGCUUGCCUUUUAGGAGUGUCUCGUCCUUGUCCACCGUUUUCAUAUUGGUUACUGAUAUAAAAAAAACACUCUAACUGAUCUGACAACAGUCCCACGUCUUUUUUCGUGAGCUUGUUAAUUUCCCAAAAGAGGUUUCUUUUCUUUCUUUUUUUUUUUUUGCGACCUAUGACCUUGUGUGCUUCACUAUCUGUGGCACUAAAAAAAUCAGCAGGAAAGUUGGAUUCCUGGAAUAAAAACUCUUGAUGAUGUGUCUA